UACGAAGGUGGCAAGCGUUACUCGGAAUUACUAGGCGUAAAGCGCAGGUAGGCGGUUCGAUAAGUCUUUUGUGAAAGCUCCCGGCUUAACUGGGAGAGGCCAAAGGAAACUGUUGGACUAGAGUGUGGUAGAGGAUGCUGGAAUUCCCGGUGUAGCGGUGAAAUGCGUAGAGAUCGGGAGGAAUACCUAUGGCGAAAGCAGGCAUCUGGGCCAUCACUGACGCUGAGCUGCGAAAGCUAGGGGAGCAAACAGG
rnacentral:rRNA from 1 species